AGAGUUUGAUCCUGGCUCAGGAUGAACGCUGGCGGCGUGCCUAACACAUGCAAGUCGAACGAAGCACGUCCCUCGAGGCCUUCGGGCGGAGAGGGGCAUGACUUAGUGGCGGACGGGUGAGUAACGCGUGGGUAACCUGCCCUAUACUGGGGGAUAACAGCUAGAAAUGGCUGCUAAUACCGCAUGAGCGCACAGUCCCGCAUGGGACAGUGUGGAAAACUCCGGUGGUAUAGGAUGGACCCGCGUCCGAUCAGCUGGUUGGUGGGGUAACGGCCCACCAAGGCGACGAUCGGUAGCCGACCUGAGAGGGUGACCGGCCACAUUGGGACUGAGACACGGCCCAAACUCCUACGGGAGGCAGCAGUGGGGGAUAUUGCACAAUGGGGGGAACCCUGAUGCAGCGACGCCGCGUGAGUGAAGGAGUACUCCGGUAUGUAAAGCUCUAUCAGCAGGGAAGAAGCAAGACGGUACCUGACCAAGAAGCCCCGGCUAACUACGUG
rnacentral:rRNA from 1 species